rnacentral:rRNA from 1 species
GGGUUGUGAGGUUAAGCGACUAAGCGUACACGGUGGAUGCCCUGGCAGUCAGAGGCGAUGAAGGACGUGCUAAUCUGCGAUAAGCGUCGGUAAGGUGAUAUGAACCGUUAUAACCGGCGAUUUCCGAAUGGGGAAACCCAGUGUGUUUCGACACACUAUCAUUAACUGAAUCCAUAGGUUAAUGAGGCGAACCGGGGGAACUGAAACAUCUAAGUACCCCGAGGAAAAGAAAUCAACCGAGAUUCCCCCAGUAGCGGCGAGCGAACGGGGAGGAGCCCAGAGCCUGAAUCAGUGUGUGUGUUAGUGGAAGCGUCUGGAAAGGCGCGCGAUACAGGGUGACAGCCCCGUACACAAAAAUGCACAUGCUGUGAGCUCGAUGAGUAGGGCGGGACACGUGGUAUCCUGUCUGAAUAUGGGGGGACCAUCCUCCAAGGCUAAAUACUCCUGACUGAUGAGUGAACCGGGUACCGUGAGGGGAAAGGAAAGAACCCCCGGCGAGGGGGUGAAAAGAACCUGAAACCGUGUACAUUUUCUGGUGCAGAAUUACCUCUUUUAUGGGGUGACUGCGUACCUGCUUUGUAUAAUAAGAUUCAUGACUUAUAUUCUUAGCAAGGUUAACCGAAUAGGGGCCGAAGGGGAGAACUCCAGCGGAAGUCUCUUAACUGGGCGGCGUUAAGUUGCGGGUAUGGGCAAAACGGUGAUCUGGCAUGGGCAGGUUGAAGGUUGGUACACUAAUAACUGGAGGACCAGACGACUAAUGUUGAAAAAUUAGCGGAUGACUUGUGGCUGGGGGUGAAGAGCCAAUCAAACCGGGAGAUAGCUGGUUCUCCCCGAAGCUAUUUAGGUAGCGCCUCGUGAAUUCAUCCGAGGAAUUUAAGAGCGCUGUUUCGGCAAGGGGGUCAUCCGACAUAACCGAUGCAAACUGCGAAUACGGAGAAUGUUAUCUUUUGGGAGACACACGGCAAUUGCUACAUGCGUCGUGAAGGGAAACAGCCAGACCGCCAGCUAAGGUCCCAAAGUCAGGAAGCGAUGGGAAAUUCGGGCCAGCCCGAGGGAUGUUGUGGCUUAGAAGCAGCCAUCAUUUAAAAGCGUAAUAGCUCACUGGUCGAGUCGGCCUGCGCGGAAGAUGUAACGGGGCUAAACCAUGCACCGAAGCUGCGGCAGCGACGCUUAUGCGUUGUUGGGUAGGGGAGCGUUCUGUAAGCAUGCGAAGGUGUACUGUAGGUAUGGAGGUAUCAAAGUGCAGAUACUGACAUAGAAGUAACGAUAAAGCGGGUGAAAAGCCCGCUCGCCGGAAGACCAAGGGUUCCUGUCCAACGUUAAUCGGGGCAGGGUGAGUCGACCCCUAAGGCGAGGCCGAAAGGCGUAGUCGAUGGGAAACAGGUUAAUAUUCCUGUACCCGAAUUAUUUUACUGCGAAGGGGACAGAGGCUAUGUUGGCGGGCGACGGUUGUCAGUUUUAAGCGUGUCAGAAGACGUUUCCGAGCAAAUCCGGAAAAUCAAGGCUGGUGAGGCGUGAUGAGCACUGGUGCUGAAGCAACAAAUGCCCUGAAAUUUCGGGGAAAACCUCUAAGCAUCAGGUAACCUCAAAUCCGUACCCCAAAAACCGACACGGGCGGGUGGUCGGGUAGAAAGAGAAUACCAAGGCGCGGGGAACUCGGGUGGAAGGAACUAGGCAAAAUGGUUGCCGUAGCUUCGGGAGAAGGCACGCUGAUAUGUAGGUGGGAAUUCCUCGCCGGAUGGAGCUGAAAUCGGUCGAAGAUACCAACUGGCUGCAACUGUUGUUUAUUAAAACGCACUGUGCAAACACGAAAGUGGACGUAUUGGUGUGACGCCACUGCCCGGUGCCGGAAGGUUAAUUGAUGGGGUUAGCAAACUGGCUUUCUUGAUCGAAGCCCGGUAAAACGGCGGCCGUAACUAUAACGGUCCCUAAGGUAGCUUCCUUUGUCCCGGGUGGUUCCGACUGCACAGAUAGCGUAAUGAUGGCGAGGGCUGUCUCCACCCGAGACUCAGUGAAAUUGAACUCGCUGUGAAGAUGCAGUGUACCCGCGGCAAGACGGAAAGACCCCGUGAACCUUUACUAUAGCUUGACACUGAACAUUGAGCCUUGAUGUGUAGGAUAGGUGGGAGGCUUUGAAGUGUGGACGCCAGUCUGCAUGGAGCCGACAGAAGCUACCCUUUAAUGUUUGAUGUUCAACGUUAACCAACCAAUCCGGGUUGCGGACAGUGUCUGGUGGGUAGUUUGACUGGGGCGGUCUCCUCCUAAAGAGUAACGGAGGAGCACGAAGGUUGGCUAAUCCUGGUCGGACAUCAGGAGGUUAGUGCAAUGGCAUAAGCCAGCUUGACUGCGAGCGUGACGGCGCGAGCAGGUGCGAAAGCAGGUCAUAGUGAUCCGGUGGUUCUGAAUGGAAGGGCCAUCGCUCAACGGAUAAAAGGUACUCCGGGGAUAACAGGCUGAUACCGCCCAAGAGUUCAUAUCGACGGCGGUGUUUGGCACCUCGAUGUCGGCUCAUCACAUCCUGGGGCUGAAGUAGGUCCCAAGGGUAUGGCUGUUCGCCAUUUAAAGUGGUACGCGAGCUGGGUUUAGAACGUCGUGAGACAGUUCGGUCCCUAUCUGCCGUGGGCGCUGGAGAACUGAGGGGGGCUGCUCCUAGUACGAGAGGACCGGAGUGGACGCAUCACUGGUGUUCGGGUUGUCAUGCCAAUGGCACUGCCCGGUAGCUAAAUGCGGAAGAGAUAAGUGCUGAAAGCAUCUAAGCACGAAACUUGCCCCGAGAUGAGUUCUCCCUGACUCCUUGAGAGUCCUGAAGGAACGUUGAAGACGACGACGUUGAUAGGCCGGGUGUGUAAGCGCAGCGAUGCGUUGAGCUAACCGGUACUAAUGAACCGUGAGGCUUAACCUUACAACGCCGAAG